GCCCCGGUGGCCUAGUGGUUAGAGCGUCCGCCUUGUAUGCGGGAGGUCGUGGGUUCGAUCCCCGGUCGAGUCA